AUUGAACGCUGGCGGUAGGCCUAACACAUGCAAGUCGAGCGGAAGAAGGGAGCUUGCUCCUGGAUUCAGCUGCGGACGGGUGGGUAGUGCCGAGGAAUCUGCGAAUUAGUUGUGGAUAAGGUCCUAAAACGGGCGAUAAUACCGUAUUAGUUCUUACGCAGUAAGUGGGGGAUCUUCGGACCUUACGCUCUCGGGUGAGCCUAGGUCGGAUUAGCUAGUUGGCGGGGUAAAGGCUUACCAAGGCGACGAUCCGUAACUGGUCUGAGAGGAUGAUCAGUCACACUGGAACUGAGACACGGUCCAGACUCCUACGGGAGGCAGCAGUGGGGAAUAUUGGACAAUGGGCGCAAGCCUGAUCCAGCCAUGCCGCGUGUGUGAAGAAGGUCUUCGGAUUGUAAAGCACUUUAAGUUGGGAGGAAAGGCAGUAAGUUAAUACCUCGCUGUUUUGACGUUACCCACAGAAUAAGCACCGGCUAACUUCGUG
rnacentral:rRNA from 1 species